UUGCCAUGCGGAGAUGUAUUUGGAUUUUCAUGCAUCUAUUUGGCGGUGGAUAAAGAGAAAAAUUGCCCCAAAUGCAAUGCGCAUUUCGAUACGGAGGACAUAAUCACACUGCAGUUUGGAGAUGAUUAGAGUAACAAUAAACGGGGGAUUAGCUUCUUUUCCCUUACUGCCGCCAAUCUUUGAGCGCUGUUGACGUGAUUCGUCUUGCAUUUGUCGUCUAUGGUCAUUCGAUGUUAUCUUAGGAUGUCUAAUUCACCUCAAUUUCCUACUGUAGUAAGUUCUACCAUGGACUUUAAUUUUAAA